rnacentral:rRNA from 1 species
GAAUCUUGCGCAAUGGGCGAAAGCCUGACGCAGCCAUGCCGCGUGAAUGAAGAAGGUCUUAGGAUUGUAAAAUUCUUUAACCGGGGACGAUAAUGACGAUACCCGGAGAAGAAGCCCCGGCUAACUCCGUGCCAGCAGCCGCGGUAAUACGACGGGGGCUAGCGUUGCUCGGAAUUACUGGGCGUAAAGGGCGCGUCGGCGGAUCGUUAAGUCAGAGGUGAAAUCCCAGGGCUCAACCCUGGAACUGCCGUUGAUACUUGCGAUCUUGAGUAUGAGAGAGGUAUGUGGAACUCCGAGUGUAGAGGUGAAAUUCGUAGAUAUUCGGAAGAACACCAGUGGCGAAGGCGACAUACUGGCUCAUUACUGACGCUGAGGCGCGAAAGCGUGGGGAGCAAACA